rnacentral:rRNA from 1 species
UCUUAACGAAUAGUUAUACCUCCUGCCCAAUGAAAUAUUUAAAUGGCCGCGCAGGUGCUAAGGUAGCAUAAUAAUUAGUUUUUUAAUUGGAAAAUAGUAUGAAUGGUGCCACCAAAGAUAGAAUUAAUAUUUACACUUAUGAAUUUUUAAUAUUGGUGAAAAUACCAAUUUCAAUUAUUUAGACAAAAAGACCCUAUGAAGCUAUUGAAUAAAUAAAGAAUUAAUAUAAUAAUUAAAUUCAUUUUUUGGGGUAAAAUUGAAAACCAUUAUUCAUAUAAAUUAAAUCGAAUGAGCCUUUAGGAAUUUCAACAAAGCUCCUCUAGGGAUAACAGCAUUAUACCUAUAAGAGUCCCUAUUAGA